UGCAAGUCGAACGAUGAUCCGGUGCUUGCUGCGGGGAUUAGUGGCGAACGGGUGAGAAACACGUGAGUAACCUGCCCUUGACUCUGGGAUAAGCCUGGGAAACUGGGUCUAAUACUGGAUACGACCUUCCCACGCAUGUGGUGUUGGUGGAAAGCUUUUGUGGUUUUGGAUGGACUCGCGGCCUAUCAGCUUGUUGGUGGGGUAAUGGCCUACCAAGGCGACGACGGGUAGCCGGCCUGAGAGGGUGGACGGCCACACUGGGACUGAGACACGGCCCAGACUCCUACGGGAGGCAGCAGUGGGGAAUAUUGCACAAUGGGCGCAAGCCUGAUGCAGCGACGCCGCGUGAGGGAUGAAGGCCUUCGGGUUGUAAACCUCUUUCAGUAGGGAAGAAGCGAAAGUGACGGUACCUGCAGAAGAAGCGCCGGCUAACUACGUGCCAGCAGCCGCGGUAAUACGUAGGGCGCAAGCGUUAUCCGGAAUUAUUGGGCGUAAAGAGCUCGUAGGCGGUUUGUCGCGUCUGCCGUGAAAGUCCGGGGCUUAACUCCGGAUCUGCGGUGGGUACGGGCAGACUUGAGUGAUGUAGGGGAGACUGGAAUUCCUGGUGUAGCGGUGAAAUGCGCAGAUAUCAGGAGGAACACCGAUGGCGAAGGCAGGUCUCUGGGCAUUAACUGACGCUGAGGAGCGAAAGCAUGGGGAGCGAACAGGAUUAGAUACCCUGGUAGUCCAUGCCGUAAACGUUGGGCACUAGGUGUGGGGGACAUUCCACGUUUUCCGCGC
rnacentral:rRNA from 2 species